rnacentral:rRNA from 1 species
GAUGAACGCUGGCGGCGUGCCUAAUACAUGCAAGUCGAGCGAACAGACGAGGAGCUUGCUCCUCUGACGUUAGCGGCGGACGGGUGAGUAACACGUGGAUAACCUACCUAUAAGACUGGGAUAACUUCGGGAAACCGGAGCUAAUACCGGAUAAUAUAUUGAACCGCAUGGUUCAAUAGAGAAAGACGGUUUUGCUGUCACUUAUAGAUGGAUCCGCGCCGCAUUAGCUAGUUGGUAAGGUAACGGCUUACCAAGGCAACGAUGCGUAGCCGACCUGAGAGAGUGAUCGGCCACACGGGAACUGAGACACGGACCAGACGCCUGCGGGAGGCAGCAGUAGGGAAUCUUCCGCAAUAGGCGAGAGCCUUACGGAGCAACGCCGCGUGAGUGAUGAAGGUCUUCGGAUCGGAAAACUCUGUUAUUAGGGAAGAACAAAUGUGUAAGUAACUAUGCACGUCUUGACGGUACCUAAUCAGAAAGCCACGGCUAACUACGUG